rnacentral:sRNA from 1 species
GAGAGCGUGACCGUGGGCGAACUUCGCUCAG